rnacentral:tRNA from 1 species
GGGCGAGUGGCGGAAUUGGCAGACGCGCUGGGCUUAAGCCCCAGUGAGAGUAAUAUCUCGUGGGAGUUCGACUCUCCCCUCGCCCA